rnacentral:rRNA from 1 species
UACGUAGGGUGCGAGCGUUGUCCGGAAUUAUUGGGCGUAAAGGGCUCGUAGGCGGUUUGUCGCGUCGGGAGUGAAAUCCACUGGCUUAACUGGUGGCUUGCUUUCGAUACGGGCAGACUGGAGGUAUGCAGGGGAGAACGGAAUUCCUGGUGUAGCGGUGAAAUGCGCAGAUAUCAGGAGGAACACCGGUGGCGAAGGCGGUCUCUGGGCAUGUCCUGACGCUGAGGAGCGAAAGUGUGGGAGGCGAACAGGAUU